AGUCGCCUGCCGAGGAUAGGACCCCCGUGCUGACUCAGGACCCGCCGGGCAGCAGAGGACAAUUUGGAGCUGAAGAAGCUGGUCCAGAGAAUGGGGAAAAAAGUGCUGGACAGGGACCUUCUCCCUGUUGAAGACAGCUAUGAGGUCCAGCCUAGCCUCUGGUGAUGACCGUAUUUCCACUGCUGCACACAGGAAGGCCUGGCCCAGGAAUGGCUGAGGUGCUGAUGUCAACAGAGUGGGUUUUGGAACUAUUGACUCAUUGAGAAGCAGCAUGACUUGGUGGCAAGAGCACGGGCUUGGGAGU